GUCUGGGGUGGGAGAGGAACUCUGGAUCUGACAAUCUGAGGUCACCAGCAUCCUGAACUUCUGAGUCAGUGUGAGUUGAGGACUCACUAUGGUCCUACUGAGCCAGGCCCUCUAUGGCUGUUUCAGAACACCUAAAACAGUAUAUGGAGAGGACCCAAUCCUGCAAACACUUCAGUAAGUCUACUUAUGCAGUAAAGUCUCCUGGCUCUUCUCUGAACCAUCACCAAUUUGUCAACAUCCUUCUGGAAGUGUGGACACCAGAACUGGACACUGUAUUCUUGUAGCAGACACAAAAUAGUGCUACAUUGGUUCUUAACUGGACUGAAAAAGGACAGAGGAACAAACAGAAACAUAAAGAGUGUAAAGGUGAAUUAACAGAUCUUUGCCCUUGUAUGGAAUGAGGAGGAGGAGUAAGGCAUAAGAGGAGGAGUUAGAAGAGAUCUGUGGCUUUGGCCUUUUACCAGUCGUAUUUACCUUUUUCUACAAGUAAGCAAUAUAUAUCCCAGUUCUGAGUUGACAGAAGAAUCCUACAGCAGCAGGGGGUCACUCUGCACCAACAUAGCUU